rnacentral:rRNA from 1 species
GUGAGGAAUAUUGGUCAAUGGGCGAGAGCCUGAACCAGCCAAGUCGCGUGAAGGAAGAAGGAUCUAUGGUUCGUAAACUUCUUUUGCAGGGGAAUAAAGUGCAGGACGUGUCCUGUUUUGUAUGUACCCUGAGAAUAAGGAUCGGCUAACUCCGUGCCAGCAGCCGCGGUAAUACGGAGGAUCCGAGCGUUAUCCGGAUUUAUUGGGUUUAAAGGGUGCGUAGGUGGUUUGAUAAGUCAGCGGUGAAAGUUUGCAGCUUAACUGUAAAAUUGCCGUUGAAACUGUCGAUCUUGAGUGCAAAUGAGGUAAGCGGAAUGUGUUGUGUAGCGGUGAAAUGCUUAGAUAUAACACAGAACACCGAUUGCGAAGGCAGCUUACUGGGAUGCAACUGACGCUCAUGCACGAAAGCGUGGGGAUCAAACAGGAUUAGAUACCCCGGUAGUCC